CCAAGGCAUGGGAGGUUGACUAAGCUCGAAGUGAGCCAAGCUAACCGGCAACGGAGGCAGCUACCUACAGCAUAGUCGAUGACUGGGCUU
rnacentral:rRNA from 1 species